rnacentral:rRNA from 1 species
GAUGAACGCUGGCGGCGUGCUUAACACAUGCAAGUCGAACGGAAAGGCCCAAGCUUGCUUGGGUACUCGAGUGGCGAACGGGUGAGUAACAAGUGGGUGAUCUGCCCUGCACUUCGGGAUAAGCCUGGGAAACUGGGUCUAAUACCGGAUAGGACGAUGGUUUGGAUGCCAUUGUGGAAAGUUUAUUGGUUGUGGGAUGAGCUGGCGGCCUACCAGCUUGUUGGUGGGGUAAUGGGUAACCAAGGCGUCGACGGGUAGCCGGCCUGAGAGGGUGUACGGCGGCACUGGCACCGAGAGGAGGCAGAAGUGCGGACGGGAGGGAGAAGUGGGGAAGAUUGAACAAUGGACGCAGGCCUGAUGAAGCGGCGCCGCGUGUGGGAUGACGGCCUUCGGGUUGUAGAAUCCUUUCGCUAGGGACAGAGCGUUUUUGUGACGGUACCUGGAGAAGAAGCACCGGCUAACUACGUG